ACCAAGCGUGAGGCUGAAUGAGAAGGAAAAGAGAGACAUCCAGGCGUUGCCAAGAGACGGGCUGUUCUGACGCGCGCCCAGAUGGACCCGUCGCCCUGGUGACCGGGAAGGUGGGGUGACGUUUGCGCAGAGAGGAAGGAGAGGUGAAACAACCAUCCCCCCUCCGCUUGAUUCACCACGUGAUCGUUUGUUAUCAUUGAGAGGGUCGCCCCCGCGGGAGCACAGCACCUAGGAUUAACCCUCCGCACGCCGGCGCUCGGGUUGUGCUUGGUCCGCCGUACUUCCAAGGACAGGCUCUUUGAAAGGUUUUGUGAAUGUACAUGACAUCUUCAGUGAUCACUCCACCAUAACUGGUAGUAUAGUCUUUAUUAUCAUUGUACAAAAUAAAUACAACAAAAUUGAUGGUGUAUAUUAGACAAUUUACAUUGAUAAAGAACCCCUGAUUACAGUAAGUAACCCUCUUUUCUGUCUGCUAAUUUUAGUUAAAUAUUAAUGCUGUGUUUUCAGAUACUAAACAUUUGAGGAGCUAACACCUUUUAAAAAGAAAGAAAGUGCUUUGGGGAAUUGCAGGCCACUGUGAAAUCUGUAUAGGAAUGUGCCUGUUUUUCCUCUCAAUACUUUGUGGAGUCUUAUUGAUGUGUCUCUAUGUGGGGUCUGUCCCAAAGAAUUUAGUGGCUUGAGCUAAAGAGAUCAGAUUACAAUCAGAUGCUUGUUCGCAUCCCUUCUGUGAGUAAAUUAACUUAAGGUUGAGAAAAAUUAAAAUGCAACAAUAGUCUGAAUUUUUCUAUGUGGCAUAUUUUUUCUUUAAUUUUCAGUCCCGGAAUCCUUCUGAAACCAAUUUGAAGUCAUAGCAUUCAUUUCUGUUAGCUUUAAAACAUUGAGAACAAGCAGGAAACACUAUGAACAGUUGUAUCUUCAACCAACCAGUAAGGGUUAAAAACUAAUAAAGGAGAAUAUUUGUAUGGAUGGUUUUUCUGUAGAUUUGUGUUUCUAGUUUCCCAUUGUGGUCUCUGCUGAUCAGGAUGUCCAUGAAGGGUAGCGAGUUGUGAAGAAAACAACAACUCACUACCCUUUCUGGACAUCAUGAUCAGCACAGACUACAAUGGAAAACUGGAAACACAAGUCUACAGAAAAAUCACCCAUACUAGCCAGGCACUCCACCACCAAAGCAACAACCAACCUCCCACAAAAGAAGAUAUGUAAGCAUUUAAAUAAGUCCAACACACUAGAGCAACCUGGAACAGCAGAAAAAGGAAAUAGAGCAUUUAUAUAGCAUCUAUACAACAUAUUCCAACGGAAUGGAUAUCCACGCAACUUUAUCAAAUAGUUCCUGACCACUCAACCUCAUACAGCACAACCAACACAAAUGCUAAAAAGAAUUAUACUGCCAUACGUUAUGAGUUAUGAAAGUUUAUUUAUACAUCAAGUAUAUCUCAGAAACCACCAACAGACCUACAACUGCAUGGAAUCACCAUAGCACUCAAGCCAAUUAAAGCCCUUCAAAGCAUC